AACAGAUUAUGGUCUGGGUACAGAUUAAGUUCUAGAUCCAGAUUAGGGUCUAGAUCCAGUUUAAGGUCUCGAUCCAUAUUAGGGUCUAGAUCCAGAUUAGGAUAUAAAUCCAGAAUAAGGUUUGGUCGCUGCCCCUAUCUGUCCGUCAGGAGGUGUCAUGUGAUCCAAGGCAGGGGGACUUACCGAGCUCUUUCUCCAGAGGGAGGAGUCCUGGAGAGGGAGCAGCUCAGAAGAGGAGACGCCUUCAAAACAAAGAAACAAAACAAACGAGGAUGACCAGAAUGAGGCGGAACAGGGAGACUGUGGCCCCACCCCCAAUCCAUCUUUGUGUAUCUGGAGGAUCGUUGCUAGCAGAUGAGGAUGGACAGCUCAUGAUCAUGUACUCGGCGUCUUCCACUGCAGACAGACAAGCGUGUGAGGGUCAGUGGCGUUCUCCAGACAGCAGCAGCAGAUCGGAG